UGGGGAAUAUUGCACAAUGGGCGCAAGCCUGAUGCAGCCAUGCCGCGUGUAUGAAGAAGGCCUUCGGGUUGUAAAGUACUUUCAGCGGGGAGGAAGGCGAUAAGGUUAAUAACCUUGUCGAUUGACGUUACCCGCAGAAGAAGCACCGGCUAACUCCGUGCCAGCAGCCGCGAUAAUACGGAGGGUGCAAGCGUUAAUCGGAAUUACUGGGCGUAAAGCGCACGCAGGCGGUCUGUCAAGUCGGAUGUGAAAUCCCCGGGCUCAACCUGGGAACUGCAUUCGAAACUGGCAGGCUAGAGUCUUGUAGAGGGGGGUAGAAUUCCAGGUGUAGCGGUGAAAUGCGUAGAGAUCUGGAGGAAUACCGGUGGCGAAGGCGGCCCCCUGGACAAAGACUGACGCUCAGGUGCGAAGGCGUGGGGAGCAAACA
rnacentral:rRNA from 1 species